rnacentral:rRNA from 1 species
UACGUAGGGUGCAAGCGUUGUCCGGAAUUAUUGGGCGUAAAGAGCUCGUAGGCGGUCUGUCGCGUCGGAUGUGAAAAUCCAAGGCUCAACCCUGGACCUGCAUUCGAUACGGGCAGACUAGAGUUCGGUAGGGGAGACUGGAAUUCCUGGUGUAGCGGUGAAAUGCGCAGAUAUCAGGAGGAACACCGGUGGCGAAGGCGGGUCUCUGGGCCGAAACUGACGCUGAGGAGCGAAAGCGUGGGGAGCAAACAGG